UUAAAUAUUGAUUAUAAAAAAUGAACAAGUUGAAAGACAUAUCUCUAUUUAGAUUAUAGCAUGCUUCGAACCUAGACAUCCAGCCAACCCAUUACCAACACAAAAUUAGCCCUUACUGUACCCUAAGGUCAUCACAAAACAUCACGUUAAAAUCACUACGAAAACCAGCCAUUGUCGAAGUAAAAUAAGCCAUCAUUACUACCCCUAACCAUCACGAAAUUAUCACUAAGGUAAACCGCCAUUACACACAUCAUACACCAAAACUCACCCCAACCAUCCUACACGAAAUUAUCACAAACUCAGUUUUAUCACCGAAAUACGUGACUAACCGCCCUACCUAAAGCUCACUCAAAAAUACCCCAAACGCCAAGUACUGACCAAGGUUAGCAAAGUUGUGUCAUGAUCGUUCAAAUCUACGUACAAAAUUUAGAUGGGGCAUUAUUUCAAAAUAAGACAAUAACUUCGGAUCAGUUGUUUUGUAAAUUAGGUAUAAGUAAAAUGAUUCAUGUUCGAUAAUAUGGUAUUCUUGAGGUGCAAACAUUUGAGGCGUAAAAAUUACUUUGUUUGUCUAACACAAAUAAUGAGUUAUGGAAUUUGAAUGGAAG
rnacentral:lncRNA from 1 species